GCUCAACCAACCUAGAUGGCAUGAGAAAUACCCCGUUUUUGAAUAAGUCUUUGUAGAGAUUUCACUAGAGACCACGUACGAAUGUACAUAGAUGCAUUUUAGGUUAUAGAUUCACUCAUUUUGUUUCAUAUGAAGUUUAUCGUGAAAUCUCUACGAAUACUUAUAUUUAGGAAUGGAGGCAGUAGGAUACAAAGAGGGGAGUUGUGAUGUUCAUUUCAUUUCACAGACAGCAGAAAAACAGGUGGUGUCUGAUUACUCUGUUUUUGCGCAGGGCUCACCGACCUCUGGGAGAUACCAGGUGCUGCUGCUGAUUUCGUUUCAAGGGCCCCUGCAAACCUCUGGGCUGCGCUGGCGUGGUUGACUAAGCCCGCCGGAGAUGUCAAGCAUAGCCAAACCACUUCCCUCUAGCUAAUGCUGAUCGUAACACGGCGUGCAUGGAUUCAGAUUCUACUUUUAGAAGAUCGAUUUAGAUUGUAUCAUACCUUGCUUCCUCUUAUCCGGUGUGUAGUAGAAUAGAUGGUUUUUUUCUCGUGCCUCCUUUUGCUACCUCCAUGGUUGGUGUUUGGUGGGAGAGCGACGGAUGUGUGUUACUGUGGGCAA